UAGGGAAUCUUCGGCAAUGGACGAAAGUCUGACCGAGCAACGCCGCGUGAGUGAAGAAGGUUUUCGGAUCGUAAAACUCUGUUGUUAGAGAAGAACAAGGACGUGAGUAACUGAACGUCCCCUGACGGUAUCUAACCAGAAAGCCACGGCUAACUACGUGCCAGCAGCCGCGGUAAUACGUAGGUGGCAAGCGUUGUCCGGAUUUAUUGGGCGUAAAGCGAGCGCAGGCGGUUUCUUAAGUCUGAUGUGAAAGCCCCCGGCUCAACCGGGGAGGGUCAUUGGAAACUGGGAGACAUGAGUGCAGAAGAGGAGGGUGGAAUUCCAUGUGUAGCGGUGAACUGCGUGGAUAUAUGGGGGACAACGAGUGGCGAAGGCGGCUCUCUGGUCUGUAACUGCCGCUGGGGCUCGAAAGCGUGGGGAGCAAACAG
rnacentral:rRNA from 1 species